GACGAACGCUGGCGGCGUGCCUAAUACAUGCAAGUCGAACGCAGUGGGGACGGGUGAGUAACACGUGGGUAACCUCCCAUCAGAGGGGAUAACACUUGGAAACAGGUGCUAAACCGAUACUGAUGGAUGGACCCGCGGUGCAUUAGCUAGUUGUUGAGGUAACGGCGCACCAAGGCCACGAUUCAUAGCCGACCGGAGAGGGUGAUCGGACAAUCGGGAACUGAGACACGGCCCAGACUCAGACGGGAGGCAGCAGUAGGGAAACUUGGGCAAUGGGCGAAAGGCUGACCGAGCAACGCCGCGUGAGUGAAGAAGGUUUUCGGGUCGUAAAACACUGUUGUUAGAGAAGCGGUAUCUAACCAGAAAGCCACGGCUAACUACGUGCCAGCAGCCGCGGUAAUAC
rnacentral:rRNA from 1 species